rnacentral:rRNA from 1 species
UGCAGUCGAACGACAUAGUGGCAGACGGGUGAGUAACGCGUGGGAACGUGCCCUUCACUACGGAAUAGCUUCUGGAAACGGAAGGUAAUACCGUAUACGCCCUUCGGGGGAAAGAUUUAUCGGUGAAGGAUCGGCCCGCGUUAGAUUAGAUAGUUGGUGGGGUAAUGGCCUACCAAGUCUACGAUCUAUAGCUGGUCUGAGAGGAUGAUCAGCCACACUGGGACUGAGACACGGCCCAGACUCCUACGGGAGGCAGCAGUGGGGAAUCUUGCACAAUGGGCGAAAGCCUGAUGCAGCCAUGCCGCGUGAAUGAUGAAGGCCUUAGGGUUGUAAAAUUCUUUCGCCAGGGAUGAUAAUGACAGUACCUGGUAAAGAAGCCCCGGCUAACUUCGUGCCAGCAGCCGCGGUAAUACGAAGGGGGCUAGCGUUGUUCGGAAUUACUGGGCGUAAAGCGCGCGUAGGCGGGCUAUUAAGCCAGAUGUGAAAGCCCGGGGCUCAACCCCGGAAUUGCAUUUGGAACUGGUAGCCUAUAGACCAUGAGAGGUUAGCGGAAUACCCAGUGU